rnacentral:rRNA from 1 species
UACAGAGGUCCCGAGCGUUGUUCGGAUUCACUGGGCGUAAAGGGUGCGUAGGUGGCUGGGAAAGUUUGAUGUGAAAGCUCAGGGCUUAACCCUGAAAUGGCAUUGAAUACUGCCUGGCUGGAGGUUUGGAGGGGAGACUGGAAUUCCUGGUGUAGCGGUGAAAUGCGCAGAUAUCAGGAGGAACACCGGUGGCGAAGGCGGGUCUCUGGGCCGAUACUGACGCUGGAGGAGCGAAAGCGUGGGGAGCGAACAGG